AUUGAACGCUGGCGGCAGGCUUAACACAUGCAAGUCGAGCGGAGAGAGGUAGCUUGCUACCGAUCUUAGCGGCGGACGGGUGAGUAAUGCUUAGGAAUCUGCCUAUUAGUGGGGGACAACAUUUCGAAAGGAAUGCUAAUACCGCAUACGUCCUACGGGAGAAAGCAGGGGAUCUUCGGACCUUGCGCUAAUAGAUGAGCCUAAGUCGGAUUAGCUAGUUGGUGGGGUAAAGGCCUACCAAGGCGACGAUCUGUAGCGGGUCUGAGAGGAUGAUCCGCCACACUGGGACUGAGACACGGCCCAGACGCCUACGGGAGGCAGCAGUGGGGAAUAUUGGACAAUGGGCGCAAGCCUGAUCCAGCCAUGCCGCGUGUGUGAAGAAGGCCUUAUGGUUGUAAAGCACUUUAAGCGAGGAGGAGGCUACUUUAGUUAAUACCUAGAGAUAGUGGACGUUACUCGCAGAAUAAGCACCGGCUAACUCUGUGCCAGCCGCCGCGGUAAGAC
rnacentral:rRNA from 1 species